rnacentral:rRNA from 1 species
GUGUCAGCAGCCGCGGUAAUACGAAGGUGGCAAGCGUUACUCGGAAUUACUAGGCGUAAAGCGCAGGUAGGCGGUUCGAUAAGUCUUUUGUGAAAGCUCCCGGCUUAACUGGGAGAGGCCAAGGGAAACUGUCGGACUAGAGUGUGGUAGAGGGUGCUGGAAUUCCCGGUGUAGCGGUGAAAUGCGUAGAGAUCGGGAGGAAUACCUAUGGCGAAAGCAGGCACCUGGGCCAUCACUGACGCUGAGCUGCGAAAGCUAGGGGAGCAAACAGGAUUAGAAACCCUUGUAGUCC